AUCUACAUUACGAAAUUCCUUAGCUCGACUAUAUAGCUAACCAAUUGGUCGAUGUUCGACUCCACUCGACUCAUUCGCACUCCUAUAAAUACUGAUCCAAGGAAGCUAUUAACAACCAACUCCAUCACCAUGUCUAAUUCCAAUCACCACUCCAAAAUUUUACCAGAUUGAAGACUGAAACUGCCAGUGUGGUGGUGGUGGUGGUGACAAGUGAUAACUAAUUUAAACCAGAGUCUCUAAAAAAGAAAAAGAUAAAAUAGUGUAGCAGGGCAUGAGUUUAUAGUAUUAAAAUUUUCAUAUAAUCACAGAGGGAUAUCUUCUAUUUGUAACAAAUAUAUUGCUCCCUCAAAAUAAAAUAAUUAGUAAAUAUAUGGUGGUCUGUUUAUUCAAGGAAAUAUUCAGACACAAAAUCCAGAUUUCAUCUCUCCAUAUCAUCUCUCCACCUUCCCUUCACCCCUGAGGAUUUUAAAUCUUCACCAUUUUCUCUCUCAUAUUCAGAUUAACAUAGAGAGAGAAAAUGAGAUAAACAAAGGGGGUGAAGGGAGAGGCAGACCUUCUUUAGAAUUCUGGGGUGUGGCAGAGAUGGCGAAGCAACAAUGGAGAUCCAAGUCCUUCUGCAAUCACAUCGAUCCUGAUAAGGAAGAACAGCUCAAACGAGUCAAAAUAGCGGUGGGGGAUCAAGUGGACAGCAUUCUUAAGAUCAUGAAGGAUAUAAACCGCGGAAACAGAGAGAGGAACUUGAAGAAAAAGUCGCAAGCAAUAGAACUCAUCCAAGAUUUCCACAAGCAGUAUGAAAAACUUUACAUUCUCUAUGAGAAUUUGAGAGAAAGGGUGAAGAAAAGUGUUGAAUACUCUUCUCCUGCUCCCGACUCGGAUGCAGAACCAAAUUAUUGGAAUGGUGGAAA